AGAGCAGGCGUGGGGGAUGGGCACUGGGCGGAAAGCGCGGCGGGACCCAGGCGCAUGCGCACUCGUCUCGCUCGCCCCUCCGGGCAUCCUAGCAACCGGGUUCCAAACCAGCGUCUUUUUUUUCCCAACCUGGAGUUCUCGUCCAGCCAACCAGUCUCGGCCCUUCCCUGUCUGUGAUUCUUCCUAGUCACUUCCGCUCCCUUCCACCGGUUCUGAGCUCACUGGGCGUGCUUGUCGCCCAGCAACCUGCACCGGCUCCUGAAAUGGGCCCUCGUGGUUUUGGCCAGGAAACCAUCCUCUGGCGCCUCUGGCACCCUCUGUUCGGGUUGAGGUGGCUGCAGAGCCUGGGGCUGCUCCUGUGGCCUCACGGGGCCCACGGAGUGGCUUUCUACCUACCUCCCGGGAUUGGCCCCGGUCAACUUCAGUAAGGCGGGCCAAGAGACCGCAUCCUGUCAGUGCCCUUCGGUCUCCUGGGUCGUCCUCCAGCUGCAAACACCAAGAUAAUGCUGUUAACUUCCAGAGGCUUGUGAGAAAAUGAGACAACGCAGAAAGAUGACUUAAAUAAAAUGACAACUUUCCACAUAUUUAGGCUGACCUCGAACUCACUGCGAUCCGCCUGC